rnacentral:rRNA from 1 species
UACGGAGGAUGCGAGCGUUAUCCGGAUUUAUUGGGUUUAAAGGGUGCGUAGGCGGGCUUUUAAGUCAGCGGUAAAAAUUCGGGGCUCAACCCCGUCCGGCCGUUGAAACUGGGGGCCUUGAGUGGGCGAGAAGAAGGCGGAAUGCGUGGUGUAGCGGUGAAAUGCAUAGAUAUCACGCAGAACCCCGAUUGCGAAGGCAGCCUUCCGGCGCCCUACUGACGCUGAGGCACGGAAGUGCGGGGAUCGAACAGG